rnacentral:rRNA from 1 species
CACGUAGGGUGCGAGCGUUGUCCGGAAUUAUUGGGCGUAAAGAGCUCGUAGGCGGUGUGUCGCGUCGGCCGUGAAAACCUGCAGCUUAACUGUGGGCUUGCGGUCGAUACGGGCAUCACUGGAGUUCGGCAGGGGAGACUGGAAUUCCUGGUGUAGCGGUGAAAUGCGCAGAUAUCAGGAGGAACACCGAUGGCGAAGGCAGCUCGCUGGGACGGUACUGACGCUGAGGCGCGAAAGCAUGGGGAGCGAACAGG